rnacentral:lncRNA from 1 species
CAUCACCAGCACUAUCAGUGUCUCGUAGGUUUUUGUUGAUUUUGAUCUCUUUUCCAUGGAUUUUCUUUCAGGUGUCUGGGGAGUACUCGAUGAUCAAAGCAGGGGGAGUUCUGAAGAUGAUCGAUGAAGAGAAAGUGAUGAUGGAGUCACUAAUGUGCUUACGCAGAGCUGGUGCUGACAUCAUCCUUACCUACUUUGCUCUUCAAGCUGCUACUUACUUAUGCAACCAGAAGCGGUAGAAGAAGAGACAGAGAGAGUUUGAUGGUUUUGCAUUUUGGUAUUUAACCAUUUGAGCAAUCAUUAUUUUUUGUGUUGUACUACUUUUUCCUUGCAAAUCUCAUGUUCUGAUUCGACUUUGUUUGGUCAUGUUUCUUUGUCUCGUGCAUUAUGUACUGUUAUAUAAGUCUUAGUCUUAUUUUGUAUCACCAAUCUGUUCCUCAUUGAUUUCUAUUUAGGAGGGCAUUGUUCUGAGUUUUUGAAACUUGGCUCUUACAUUAUUUUUGCUUGCUGAAUGCAACCUUGUAGUACUUGGGUUAUUGUGCAUUUUUGUUUAGCAAUGUACAUGGAUCAGAAAUGUGUUUUAUUUAAUUUUUAUUGGAGCUAUGCGUGGUUGCUACAGGCUUGGUUGGAGGCAUGGCCUUUUACAAGAGGUUUGGCUCUGUGUUUUGAUUUGUUUCCUUUGAGAGCAAAUCAUGUUAGGAACAUGAGUUUUUCCAUUUUAUAUGCAAACAGGUUGCAAAGGCUAGAGCUGUUGGUGUUAACAGUAUAGUGUUGUUCCCUAAAGUUCCCGAGGCUUUGAAGGUUUCAACCCUUGUCUUCUAUUUGCAUACAAAUGUUGUUGAGCUGUACACUGAAACUCUUUUUGUCUUUGUUUUCAUUUUUGGUAGAAUCCGACAGGGGACGAGGCAUACAACGAUAAUGGUCUUGUGCCUAGAACAAUCCGUCUUCUCAAAGACAAGUAUCCUGAUCUUGUAAGAUGUGUAAAUCUUAGUUUGUUAAAUAUAACUGGAGAUGAUAAUCUUGGUAAUGAAUGUUCUUCUUUUCUUCUCUUAGAUUAUAUACACUGAUGUUGCUUUGGAUCCCUACUCAUCUGAUGGUCACGAUGGUAUAGUCAGAGAGGAUGGUAAGUAUUCUUUACCUAACCUCCUUCCUUCUGUUAUGUUUUAAAUGGAGCUGUGAUACAUAACUCAUCUCUGUAGGCGUAAUAAUGAAUGAUGAAACUGUGCACCAGCUAUGUAAGCAAGCUGUUUCUCAGGUAAAUGUCAAAGAGUGAAAACUGUUUAAUGUAUGAGAUAUAAUCUUUUUCUUUCUUUCUUUCUUUGCAGGCCCGAGCUGGAGCGGAUGUUGUUAGUCCGAGUGACAUGAUGGAUGGUCGAGUAGGCGCAAUUCGUGCAGCUCUCGAUGCUGAAGGCUUUCAAAAUGUCUCAAUCAUGUCUUACACCGCAAAGUAAUCAUAUAACUUCUGAGACCUCAACAGCUUUUUUUAAGAGCAUUUACUUGUUUGUUCUGUCUAACUCCGUGUAUGAACCAACAGGUAUGCAAGUUCGUUCUACGGCCCGUUCCGUGAAGCACUGGACUCAAAUCCACGUUUUGGGGACAAGAAAACGUAAGUAGCAAACAAUCUAUUGUUAAGUUUGUGUUUGUUUGGCUAAGCCUUUGGUACCUUGAACAAAAGUUAUCAGAUGAACCCAGCAAAUUAUAGAGAGGCUUUGAUUGAGGCACGUGAAGACGAGGCUGAAGGAGCCGACAUUCUCCUGGUAUGAGAUCACACCCUUGAGGUCAAAACAUGUCUAGAGUUUGGUAACAAUUAGGAGUGUUUGGUUACAGGUAAAGCCAGGUCUCCCUUAUUUGGACAUCAUACGGCUCCUUAGGGACAAGUCUCCCUUGCCCAUUGCUGCAUACCAAGUACUCAGCUUCCUCAUCAUCACCAGCACUAUCAGUGUCUCGUAGGUUUUUGUUGAUUUUGAUCUCUUUUCCAUGGAUUUUCUUUCAGGUGUCUGGGGAGUACUCGAUGAUCAAAGCAGGGGGAGUUCUGAAGAUGAUCGAUGAAGAGAAAGUGAUGAUGGAGUCACUAAUGUGCUUACGCAGAGCUGGUGCUGACAUCAUCCUUACCUACUUUGCUCUUCAAGCUGCUACUUACUUAUGCAACCAGAAGCGGUAGAAGAAGAGACAGAGAGAGUUUGAUGGUUUUGCAUUUUGGUAUUUAACCAUUUGAGCAAUCAUUAUUUUUUGUGUUGUACUACUUUUUCCUUGCAAAUCUCAUGUUCUGAUUCGACUUUGUUUGGUCAUGUUUCUUUGUCUCGUGCAUUAUGUACUGUUAUAUAAGUCUUAGUCUUAUUUUGUAUCACCAAUCUGUUCCUCAUUGAUUUCUAUUUAGGAGGGCAUUGUUCUGAGUUUUUGAAACUUGGCUCUUACAUUAUUUUUGCUUGCUGAAUGCAACCUUGUAGUACUU